UUUACCACUCAGCAUGCACAUGUAUAUGCAAGAGAUAUAAAAUACAAGUACUGUUGCUUCUGAUGUGAAAUAAUAUUUAUUUUCUUGUACCAACUACAGGUCCCUGAGAGAGUACACACACAGUUCACUCUGGAAGCUACACAGCUGAAGCACUGGCAACAGAAGAAGCAGAAUAUGCUUGGCUGUCAUUUUAGCAAUCUUCUCUGCAGCAGUCUUAAUGUGCACGGAAGAGGGGCUAUCGCCUGAUGAAUCCACAUGUAUGAAACAGUUCAAUUUGGAUAGCGAAAACCUAGAUGAAGUGUCAGAGCCCUCAGAAAGCUGAACAGAGGCACCCAGAGGACCGUGAAUAUUGGCAGAACUCCUCAAGAUUGAUUUGUGCAGUGUUGGAAGAUGAUAGUAGGUAACUAGACUCCUCCAAACAACAACCAACUUAAAUUCAAACUAGUGAUUUAUCAACAGAUUGGUGAAUUAGUUUUCUAAUAAUCUAAACAGCUCCUUCUUGUAUUUUGCUCCAGAUACAUCAGCAAGGUCUAUCUGCUUCACAUUUGUGUGGUGGAUUUACUUUUCAUGCACCUGCUAUUACUGUUAUGUUUCACUGACGAGGAGAGGCAGAGAUUUUCUCUUCUAAGCAGUUAUUGAAUUACAUUUAUUUUCCUGUGCUUUUUUUCUCAUCUCUUUCUCUCUCUGGAAAAGAUCUCAGAUUCACA
rnacentral:lncRNA from 1 species